rnacentral:rRNA from 1 species
GACGAACGCUGGCGGCGUGCUUAACACAUGCAAGUCGAACGGAAAGGCCCUGCGCUUGUGGCGUGCUCGAGUGGCGAGCAGGUGAGUAACACAUGUGUAAACUGUCCUUGGCUUUGGGAUAUCUUCAGGAAAAUCGGGCUCUUAUACGAUAGACGAUCCUGCUGCACGGUGUCGGCUGGAAAGAUUCGGCGGUUGGGGAUGGACUCGCGGCUUAUCAGCUUGUUGGUGGGGUAGUGGCUUACCAAGGCGUUGACGGGUAGCCGGCCUGAGAGGGUGACCGGCCACAUUGGGACUGAGAUACGGCCCAGACUCCUACGGGAGGCAGCAGUGGGGAAUAUUGCACAAUGGGCGGAAGCCUGAUGCAGCAACGCCGCGUGCGGGAUGACGGCCUUCGGGUUGUAAACCGCUUUCGGCUGGGACGAAGCGUGAGUGACGGUAAUGGGAGAAGAAGCACCGGCUAACUACGUG